rnacentral:ncRNA from 1 species
UAGGUUGACAGCAAAAUCAUGGACGCCCAGGCCGCUCACGAAGCUACCUAUUCCGCUCUGAUGACCGCGUUGGCAGGAGCCAACAUCAUCUACGGACCG